rnacentral:rRNA from 1 species
CACGUAGGGUGCGAGCGUUGUCCGGAAUUAUUGGGCGUAAAGAGCUCGUAGGCGGUGUGUCGCGUCGGCCGUGAAAACCUGCAGCUUAACUGUGGGCUUGCGGUCGAUACGGGCAUCACUGGAGUUCGGCAGGGGAGACUGGAAUUCCUGGUGUAGCGGUGAAAUGCGCAGAUAUCAGGAGGAACACCGGUGGUGUAGACGGCUCUCUGGACCGUAACUGACGCUGAAGAC